rnacentral:rRNA from 1 species
UACGUAGGUGGCAAGCGUUGUCCGGAUUUACUGGGCGUAAAGGGCGUGCAGGCGGUUUGUUAAGUGCAGGGUGAAAGCUCCCGGCUCAACUGGGAGAGGUCCUUGCAUACUGGCAGACUUGAGGGAGGCAGGAGGAAAGUGGAAUUCCCGGUGUAGUGGUGAUAUGCGUAGAUAUCGGGAGGAACACCUGUGGCGAAGGCGGCUUUCUGGGCCUUACCUGACGCUGAGACGCGGAAAGCGUGGGGAGCGAACAGG